rnacentral:rRNA from 1 species
UACGAAGGGGGCUAGCGUUGCUCGGAAUCACUGGGCUUAAAGGGUGCGUAGGCGGGUCUUUAAGUCAGGGGUGAAAUCCUGGAGCUCAACUCCAGAACUGCCUUUGAUACUGAAGAUCUUGAGUUCGGGAGAGGUGAGUGGAACUGCGAGUGUAGAGGUGAAAUUCGUAGAUAUUCGCAAGAACACCAGUGGCGAAGGCGGCUCACUGGCCCGAUACUGACGCUGAGGCACGAAAGCGUGGGGAGCAAACAGG